GGCCGCACGGACACCUGAGGCUGGGGAGCCGCAGGCCGCCCUCGGGGACGCGGGCCUCGCCUCGGCAGGAAGAGGCGCGCUUCACGUUCUGCGGAAGCGAAGUCUGCAAAUGUCCCCUCUGGAAAAGAGCCAUGAAUCAAAUUUUUCUUCCUAGAAAAGACCUCAUACCUAGUCCCGCAGCUGUACACGGAGGUGGCUUUUUAACUUGGGUUGGCCUUCCCGGCGCUUAUGCAACAUACAAUCAGUUCAGUCGAAAGAACUGCACUUUAAAAAACUUGUACCUAGAAAAUAUUCUAGAAGCAUCACUAAGGAAGUCAGGAGUCUCCAACUACUUCAAAAACUGACUUGGUCCUGUCUUCUCGACAGAAGUCAGAGUACACUAGACAGGUCCUCCUCAAGGAUAUGUAGCUUAAUCCUGCUCUCCCUGGACAAACAGAAUAAAGCUGAAGUGGCUGGGACAGGACCC
rnacentral:lncRNA from 1 species